rnacentral:lncRNA from 1 species
CCCAUUAGACCACACUUAAACUACACAGUGUCCUCAAUGUGUCACAAUCAUCAGAUCAGAAAUCAGAACAGUCAACAGAUCAUGGACAAGUGCAAUAAAAGCAGGAAAGGGAGAGAAGGGAAAGAAGAAAACUCUCCUGAUCAUGGUGGCAGUUGCCAAUUUUGGACUUUCAGGGAAAUGUCUUCCACCACGGUAUUCAGCCAGGAAGUGUUGAAGAGGAAUUGCUUCAGUCUCCAGAUUUGAUCAAGCAGGGAGAUGUCCUCCAUAGCUGGAUCUAAGAAGAAGUGAUUGUUGAUGAGUGGGUUCAGCUGGUGCCUAUUAACCUUCAAACUGUCAACAUCUUUGUCUUCCACCAUGGGUGUGUGUUGGCCAAAUUCAUAUGUACCUCCUGCAACAUGGUUAGUGCAAUAUGGUUCCACAGAAAUGACAUGCAGGGGUAUAACACCCAAUCCCAGUGUAACAAGCUGACCCUCAGAUAUACCCUC